GUAGCGGUGAAAUGCGUAGAUAUCUGGAGGAAUACCGGUGGCGAAGGCGGCAUCCUGGACCGGCAUUGACGCUGAUGAGCGAAAGCUAGGGGAGCAAACGGGAUUAGAUACCCCGGUAGUCCUAGCCCUAAACGAUGAAUGCUUGGUGUGGCGGGUAUCGAUCCCCGCGACGAACACGACGCAGUACGCAGUACGACACGCACAACGUCAGCACAACGACGUCACAACACGACGCACAGACAGUCAACUGCACAACAUACCGGAUAACAUCUGCGGAUCAAAUGGUGAGAUUCCGCCUGAGGAGCGGCCGAGGCGCUAUCAGCUUGUUGGUAGGGUAAUGGCCUACCAAGGCUUAGACGGCUAGGGGGUGUGAGAGCAUGGCCCCCACCACUGGGACUGAGACACUGCCCAGACACCUACGGGUGGCUGCAGUCGAGAAUCUUCGGCAAUGGGCGCAAGCCUGACCGAGCCUGCACGAACGCAUGCACAACUGCAGUCAGGCAGCAACGUCACAACGCGAACGUACCCUUAGUUGCCAGCACGUAAUGGCCGGUACAAACCGUCGCGAUACCGCAAGGGAGCUAAUCGGAACACUCGAAAGCCUGACGGAGCAAGACCGCGUGAGGGAAGAAGGCUCUUGGGUCGUAAACCUCUUUUGUCAGGGAAGACACCACUGGGACUGAGACACUGCCCAGACACCUACCAUGACGUCAGUCAGCGGCGCGCAGACGACCAUCGACGCAGCAGACGUCGUCCCGCAGACGUACUGAAGCGAACGGGAUUGCAGUAAUCGCGGAUCAGCACGCCGCGGUGAAUACGUUCCCGGGCCUUGUACACACCGCCCGUCACAUCACGAA
rnacentral:rRNA from 1 species